GACAGGGUCCUGGGGAAGAAAGCCAGCUAGGCACUGGUGAAAAGGGCAGAGAGCAGCGGAUGCCAGCCACCUGCUCCUGAGCGCCAGGCUCUGUGGACAUGCAAGCGGGCGGGGCUGCUCUCUGGGCCCAGAAAACAGAGAUGGACUGGCUGGUUCCACCCCAGCCAAGGGAUCUGAGGAAGUCUCACUGCCCUGGUCACCUGAGUCAUGUGACUACAUCCUGUGAUUACCCAGACAUCCGCUGAGGAACCAGAAGGAGCUUGGAGUCGGUCAGCGUCAAUUAGCAGCUGUGUGAGUCAGAGGAUGUUACUCGACCUCUCUGAAUCUUGUUUUCCCACCUGUAACUUGUGGAUGGUAAUGCCUACCUUGCAGAGGUACUGAGAGAAUUAUAUACAAUACAUGCAAAGCAGCUGGUACAGUAAGGCCUCCACAUGGUAGCUAGAGUUAUUCCCACCUCGGCAGUGAUGACCUUCAAACAUGCAGAGAAUUCGGCUACUUAAGAGCAAGGGCUAACCCAUGCCACUUCCCAGCCUGAGCUCCACUGUUGUCACCCACAUCUGGCAUGCUGGCCAGACUAGGCACUCCCCUCAUCUUCAUUCCACACUCAACCUUUAAAAAAAUAAGUAAAACAGGAGUUUCCGUGUGGCUCAAUAGGUUGGGGAUCAGGCACAGGUGGGUGAGGUGGGUGCUGUGGCAAGGGUUCAAUCCCUGGCCCAGGAUUUCCUCAGGCUGCUGGUGGGGCCAAAAUAAAUUAAAACAACACUGAGGCUGAUCUAAUUCUUCCCAAAUUGGUCCAGAGGAAAAAUCUGAAGCUCCACUGGGCUGCCUGCAAGGACCAUAUACCCUUUUUUUUUUUUUUUUUUUUUUUUUUUCUCUUUUUAGGGCCACACCUGCAGCAUAUGGAGGAAUCAAAUUGGAACUGUAACUGCCGGCCUACACCACAGGCAGGUGGGAUCCAAGCCUCACAUCUGUGACCUACAGGUCACGGCAACAUCAGAUCCCUAACUCUGAGAGAGGCUAGGGAUCGAACCCAUGGAUGCUAGUCAGGUUCUUAACCCACUGAGCCACGAUGGGAACUCCCGCAUGCCCAACUUUUUGAACCAAGGUGGGAGUCGCAGACCCUCAGCUGCAGCUGAUGAAACAGUGACACCAUGUGGCCUCACAGGAGCACAGCGCAGCCCAGAACCGGCUCUGAGGGAGCCUGGUCCCAGCCAGGCUGGGAGAGGGGUUGGCUGUGUCAGGAAAUGAAACAUGAAGAAACAAAGCACCUUACACCUGCGAAUGGACUCACAUCCCACUCCCUGAAUGCCCUUUCCGUCCACAGUCUAAGAUUCCCAGGCUGGACAAUCCAUGCUCUCAAAUCAGAAGGGACAAAAAUCACGCUGGCCAUUUAUAAAGUCUCAAACGCGUGCUGCCACUGCUCCAGAGGUCGUGGGACAUUUACAGGAACAUCUUGCAGUCCUUGUCCUACUCGGAUAUUUCUUUUUGGCAAAGGACUCAGACCUUGCAGAACUGGGAUCCAGCGUUGUCACUACUGUGGCUCAGGUCACUGCAGUGGCACAGGUUCCAUCCCUGGUCAAGGAAUUUCCACAUGCCCAGGGCAUGGCCAAAAAAAAAAGAAAAGAAAAGAAAAA
rnacentral:lncRNA from 1 species